rnacentral:rRNA from 1 species
UACGGAGGGGGUUAGCGUUGUUCGGAAUUAUUGGGCGUAAAGAGCUCGUAGGCGGUCUGUUGCGUCGGCUGUGAAAACCCGGGGCUCAACCCCGGGCCUGCAGCCGAUACGGGCAGACUAGAGUUCGGCAGGGGAGACUGGAAUUCCUGGUGUAGUGGUGAAAUGCGUAGAUAUCGGGAGGAACACCAGUGGCGAAGGCGGCUAGCUGGCCUGUAACUGACGCUGAGGCGCGAAGGCUAGGGGAGCGAACAGG